GACAUAUCAUGUUGAAACACCGGUCCUCGUACGACCACUAAAAUUAAGCAACGUUGGGCCUGGUCAGUACCUAUAUGGGUGACCGCUUGGAAAUACCAGGUGCUGUAAG